GCUGAAGUUGUUUACUAAAACUGGCGAAGUGUUCUCUGAAACCUCGAAAACAUACAGAGAUGCGUGGUAACAUUGAUGGAAAUGAAAAAAGAAGAAGAAAUAUCAGAGAGGACAUUCGUUUCGAACUGGCCUGAAGAAUUUCCGCGGGCUCGGUGUCUGAGGGGAAUCAAGUCCGUUUUGUAAAUUACUGCUGGGACAGCCUGCUGUGGAAGACCUGGCACCCUGCUCUUACCUCAGUCAUAUCUAAUGUGGUGGUGAACAGCCUAAUUUCAGAAUAAUAGCGCUGCGAGCAGGGUUCAAACCUGCGCGGGGAGACCCCAUUGGAUUUCAAGUCCAACGCCUUAACCACUCGGCCAUCACAGCUUUUUUGUGGUUUUUCAGCAAUGUGUCAAAGUUUUGUAAAAUAUUCAAGAUUUAAUAUUGCGGGUAAAAAUGGCCCAUUGUCAAGACGAUGUCAAUGUUAUUGUUUUGAAGUAGUGCUACAAUAUGAUGCUUGACCUUUUUGGUCUGUGCAUGGUUCCAUAGUGUAGUGGUUAUCACCUCUGCUUUACAUGCAGAAGGUCCUGGGUUUGAGCCCCAGUGGAAUCAUGACUUUCUUAUGAAGUCAAUCAAGGCCUACCCUUGUCUGAUGCUCUUUGAAACAUAGCGUCACAUUGGUAGCAACUUGCUACUUUCCGCAAGUGACUCAUAAGUCUGAGAGACAUGUGGGGGCUCCACAAGAAAGUGUUUCCCACGGAAAAGGGUGAUUGAUCUGGCACUGUGCACCUCCCUCCUGGCUGAACUAGCCGAUAUGUUCACGUCAACGUCAAUGCAGAGAUUGUCUGCAUUUGUGCCUACCCCACAGGUCUCAAACUCCAGUCCAGUGUCUGCUGGUUUUCAAGGUGUUUUUGGCAGCAGUGAUUCAUUUAAGUCAUUGACUGGCUAAGAAAUGGACACACCUUGUUCUCAAAGCCUGAAUUGGCAGCUGAUUGAAAGGAAACUACAAAAACCAGCUGACACUUCAGUCUGACACCUGACCCUUGUAGUUCUGCUUGUUCCUACUAAUUAUCAAGAAACGUAGCACUGCGAGCAGGGUUUGAACCUGCGCAGAGAAACCCCAUAGUAUUUAGACUCCAACACCUUAACCGCUCGGCCAUCACAGCUCAACAGCAUUCCCUGAUUUGGGGUUUUUUAAAUUUUAUUUAAAGUUUCGCUAUAACAGAUUAAGCAGGAAGAAAUACAGAUGUGUCUGUCAAGCAUUCAGACAUUGAUGCCUCAACCAGAGCCUGCUGUUCAAGGUAAAUACAGCCUAAUCAUCACAUUAACCAGUGACUCAUCA